rnacentral:rRNA from 1 species
UACGAAGGGGGCUAGCGUUGCUCGGAAUCACUGGGCGUAAAGGGUGCGUAGGCGGGGCUUUAAGUCAGGGGUGAAAUCCUGGAGCUCAACUCCAGAACUGCCUUUGAUACUGAAGAUCUUGAGUCCGGGAGAGGUGAGUGGAACUGCGAGUGUAGAGGUGAAAUUCGUAGAUAUCGUAAGGAAGGCCAGUGGCGAAGGCGAGUCUCUGGACAGUUACUGACGCUGAGGCACGAAGGCCAGGGGAGCAAACGGG